UACGGGGGGGGCUAGCGUUAUUCGGAAUUACUGGGUGUAAAGGGCGCGUAGGCGGCCUAGCAAGUCAGGUGUGAAAUCCCUCGGCUCAACUGAGGAACUGCGCUUGAUACUGCCUGGCUUGAGUACAGGAGAGGUGGGCGGAAUUCCCGGUGUAGCGGUGAAAUGCGUAGAUAUCGGGAAGAACAUCGGUGGCGAAGGCGGCUCACUGGACUGUAACUGACGCUGAGGCGCGAAAGCGUGGGGAG
rnacentral:rRNA from 1 species